UACGUAGGGUGCGAGCGUUGUCCGGAAUUAUUGGGCGUAAAGGGCUCGUAGGCGGUCUGUCGCGUUGUCCGUGAAAACUCACAGCUUAACUGUGGGCGUGCGGGCGAUACGGGCAGACUGGAGUACUGCAGGGGAGACUGGAAUUCCUGGUGUAGCGGUGGAAUGCGCAGAUAUCAGGAGGAACACCGGUGGCGAAGGCGGGUCUCUGGGCAGUAACUGACGCUGAGGAGCGAAAGCGUGGGGAGCGAACAGG
rnacentral:rRNA from 1 species